CUUCACCGAGCCGAGCCAGAGCGGUCGUCCCUCCGGUCGCCCCUGCCCGUAGGUGGCCAGCAGCGCCUCGGCCUC
rnacentral:antisense_RNA from 1 species